CCCAUGAGGUGAUAACACGCCAAAAUGCAAAUUUGGAGACGUACCAGCAGGUGCCGGGGCUUCUCCCGUUUUAUUAUAGACGGGAGAAGA
rnacentral:tRNA from 1 species